rnacentral:lncRNA from 1 species
UUAAUUGAGCAAGAAAAUUAUAUUUUAAUUUUCAAAAAAGACUACUUGGGCUAGAGCCCGUGGUAGCUUUUAACUUGGUUCUGCGAGUGCUUCUAGGUAAGGAGGGAAGUAGUGUCCUAAUUUGAAAGGCAUAUUCGAUCGGAGCUACCUCUUAACUAGCCCUUAGUUUAGUGAUAUUUCUCUUAGUAGUGGAAGAUGUCCC